AAUAAAUGACGCCAUUGACUUUUUCUCACAUGUUUGACCAUUCGUCUUAUUCAAAAAAAUUUACGUAAUUAUAAUUUAUUUUAUUAUGAGUUGUUUUAUCACUCAUAGUACUUUAAGUGUAAUUUAUAUCUUAUACAUUUGCAUAAAGUUUUUAAAUAAGACGAAUGGUCAAACAUGUGAGAAAAAGUCAACGGCGUCAUCUAUU
rnacentral:pre_miRNA from 1 species